rnacentral:rRNA from 2 species
CCUACGGGAGGCAGCAGUGGGGAAUAUUGCACAAUGGGCGCAAGCCUGAUGCAGCGACGCCGCGUGAGCGAAGAAGGCCUUCGGGUCGUAAAGCUCUGUCCUAAGGGAAGAAUAAUGACGGUACCUUAGGAGGAAGCCCCGGCUAACUACGUGCCAGCAGCCGCGGUAAU